UUGGAGGGCAAGUCUGGUGCCAGCAGCCGCGGUAAUUCCAGCUCCAAUAGCGUAUAUUAAAGUUGUUGUGGUUAAAAAGCUCGUAGUUGAACCUUGGGCCUGGCUGGCCGGUCCGCCUCACCGCGUGCACUGGUCCGGCCGGGCCUUUCCCUCUGCGGAACCCCAUGCCCUUCACUGGGUGUGGCGGGGAAACNGGACUUUUACUUUGAAAAAAUUAGAGUGCUCAAGGCAGGCCUAUGCUCGAAUACAUAAGCAUGGAAUAAUAGAAUAGGA
rnacentral:rRNA from 1 species